AUUUAAGUAGUUUAAUUUAAAACAAUAAUUUGUGGAAUUAUUAAUAUAAGUAUUUAUCUUAAAUA
rnacentral:tRNA from 1 species